AACAGAAAGUACGCAGAUUAUGGAUACACUCCAAGAAUAUAUAUUUAGCAUCUUGAAUUUUCGAGCAUGUAUCUCCCCAUUUUCACCCAAAGAUAUCAAAUGGAUUUGUAUAGAUUAUAAAAUGAACGAUGUUUUUACAUAGAAGACAAAAAUUUCCCGAAUUGUCUUCAUAAUUAUCUACCAGGUUACAAGUCUUGUGAAACAAAUCAUGACGUCAUCAAAAUAAGAACUGAAAAGAUGUUGGUCAUGAUAAAAGAUUUUGUUGAAACGUUUAUAUGGACACAUAAUAAUCUAUUUGGGAUUAAUGAAUUGUAAUGUGUAAAAAACAUAUGCGCACUAACAUAAUCGCUAGUUAGUAAAUAACAUAUACCAUUGUAAAAAUAAAGAGCAUUAUCAAUCUACAGAUUCGGACCAACAUAAUAGAUAAUAGGAUGUUAUUGACACAUACAUAUAUACAUACAUGUUCGACAAUUGAGAAUCAACGAUGAAUA